AGUGAACGCUGGCGGUAGGCCUAACACAUGCAAGUCGAACGGCAGCACAGUAAGAGCUUGCUCUUACGGGUGGCGAGUGGCGGACGGGUGAGGAAUACAUCGGAAUCUACUUUUUCGUGGGGGAUAACGUAGGGAAACUUACGCUAAUACCGCAUACGACCUACGGGUGAAAGCAGGGGAUCUUCGGACCUUGCGCGAUUGAAUGAGCCGAUGUCGGAUUAGCUAGUUGGCGGGGUAAAGGCCCACCAAGGCGACGAUCCGUAGCUGGUCUGAGAGGAUGAUCAGCCACACUGGAACUGAGACACGGUCCAGACUCCUACGGGAGGCAGCAGUGGGGAAGAUUGGACAAUGGGCGCAAGCCUGAUCCAGCCAUACCGCGUGGGUGAAGAAGGCAUUCGGGUUGUAAAGCCCUUUUGUUGGGAAAGAAAAGCAGCAGGUUAAUACCCCGCUGUUCUGACGGUACCCAAAGAAUAAGCACCGGCUAACUUCGUG
rnacentral:rRNA from 1 species